GGCUACUUCAAAUGCCUUUAUUUCCUAUGAUUACAUUUUGACAACACAGAAAUGUCCUGACCACAUCCCAAAGUUCGUUUCCUCGUAGUUUCUCGUUUCUGCACAGAGUGAUUUAUGAGUCCAUGUUUGAGUCUUUUCUCUCCCCCUGAAACGUUUUUUCUUCUGCUGGAAAAAUCAUGGCUUUAGUACAGAAAUUAAACAUGCAGAUCACAGAAAGGCACAACUAUGGACACACUUCUACAACAAGACAGAAAGAAGAGAGACGUUCAGGCUCAGGACGUGGGUGAGAGACGGAGCCGGAUGGUGAUCAGGUCUUUGGACGUUCUGUAUCAUGGCUAUGCUCACAUUAGAGGACAGAGGAUAUGGACCAGGACUGAAGGAGCUGGUUGGCAGUAUUGCAUUGAGAAUAAUUACAUCUUUCUACACUGUUAGGGUCUGCUCUGUGCUCAGGAUUAGGAGGAAGACAAGGAUUUUGUUGCCUGCAUUGCAGAAAAGUGACAAAAACAAAAACAAAACAAAUACAGGGUUUGUUGGUCUAUAACACGGAGUCUAACGGCAGCUCGUACAGAUACACGACAGUGAGGAAACUAAAUGACUAAAACAGUUUUAGAGAGCGCAUUCUUAACUGUUAUUUUCAUUUUCACCUGUUUAUAUUUAUAUAUAUUUACCUAUUUAUCUUGAGUCCUUUAAACAGAUAAAGGUGUAAUCACAUGAAAUCAUGUUUUACGGACGUUUCCUUUUUACAAAUAGAUCUGACAUUUAUCUCGAAGGAUGAGUUCCUCCGUAUUCCCCUCAGCCUCCUUGAACAUAUCGACAGAGUCAUUAUCCUACAGAGGAUGGACCGUCCUGGAGAUAAGGUCAUUUAUUCCCAUAUACUCCAUAUGUUACAUGUAAAGGUUAAUCUAAUUCAUAAUCUGAACAUGUUAACUGUUUUCAGCUGGAAGCUCAGAUGGUGUUAGAAGACCGCUUUAAUCCAGAUGAUCUGACCUACAGAUUCACUUUCUUCACUAAUCUCAGAAAGGAUCUGGCUCUGGAUCUUCUCAGAUUGCAUGUUAGCAUCUGCCCACUAGCUAUUUAAAUGUACUUCAUUGGAUUCAACAUUAAAAGGCAAAGCUCUGAACUCGUUUCAGUGUUAUCUAGCUAAGAGUGAUGGAGAAUGAAGGUCACAGAACAGAGAUUUCAAGAAUAAGGUUGAAAAUUUACAAAGUUUCAGACAAACGUUUCUGAGGAUUGUAAUUUUAGUUUUCGGUUAGUUUGUCCACAAGUUACUGUGAAGAGAAACAACAGCGAUAGGUCAGCUGCUGGUGUCAAAAUGAUGAACAUGGAGCUUUUUGUGAAGUUAUUGUUAAACAGGUUUUCAUAAAUAACUGGAUAAAAUGAUCCAUGUUCCUCAUUUUAACUCAGACUCCUCCUCUGUUGACCUCCUGGGUUAUUUUCUUCAAUGAUUGACAAAUUUAUUCAUGUAAACUUAUGAGUUUAUUCUUACAAAUUUGCAUCAAUUCUUUUCUUGUAAAUGUAGUUUUUUCUUUUUUCUCAUCUUCCUUUAUUCUCAUAACAUUACUGACCUACAGAAUUGUACAGUAUCUUAUUUCUCCUCAAGGAUGAAUAAAGUUUUUUUUAAUCAUAUCUCAGUUGACUUCAUUCUUGAAAUUUCAGUUCGUUUCUUUCUCAAUGUGACUUUAAUCUUUAAUAGUAGGAACCUCAGAUUUAAUCAGAUAAUUAUGAUAUUAUAACCUAUUUUUGUUUCAGCAGCUCCAGUCUUUCCUUUUUCUUUUUUUGAACCAAACUAAUUUCUACCGCAAAGUGCAGGUCUGACGACGAAACAUUCACAUUUGUGCUAAUUACACUUGAGCAGCUAAGAUAAACAUGCUAACGGUAGCUAGCUACUUAGCUAAACUUCGGCAAACUUUUUCCCAUUAUUCACGUUGGGAAAAUCUCACCGCUGCCACCAAAGUAACUGAGUGUGAGGACGACUAUACUGGGUGAGUAAUAAAAUAAAGAAGAAGACAAGCAGCAGUCUUCAGUGUUGACAGCAGCGCCCGCUCUUUUUUUUCUUUUUCUUCCCCCACGGUAACUCAGACCUGGCAACACAAUAUUUUUUUCAUGGAUGGUAGGGGAAGGUCCCGCCUCCGUUGCCUCUGAUUGGCUAGAAAAGCUGGACUCUGAUUGGUUAUCCCUUAUGGCUGUGAAACGUCAUCACACACUCAAGCCAAGCGGCUGUCAGCUCUCUACAUCGAACAGAAUGUUACAGAACAUUAUCGCAAUUCUGAAUCUCCUAACCCUAAUGUUGCAGUCGAGUUUCCUAGUUUCCUCAGAAGUCAGAAGUCGGAGCUGAAAAUAACGUCACACCCAAGUUCCCAGCGUUUCAGUUAUCAAGUCGGAAGGAGUAAAAUCGGAGGCGGAAACAAGAUGGCUACAUCUACAAAAGUUAUUUUAGCGCUCGCCUUGUCUGAAUAUGAGGCAAACGCUAAAAUAACUUUCGUAGAUGCAGUCAUCUUGUUUCCCGAUUUUGCUUUUUUCCGACUCAGUAACUUAAACGCUGGGAACUCGGGUGUGACGUCAUUUUCAGCUCCAACAUCUGACUUCCUAGGUAACUCGAACGCUACAUAACCCUUACCCGACAGACGAUGACGUUUCACAGACAUAAGGAAUAACCAAUCGGAGCCCAUCUCUGAUUGACCUCUAGCCUCUAGCCAAUCAGAGGCGGGACCUUCCUCUACCAUCCGACGUAAAAAAAAAAUAAAUAAAUAAAUAAAUAAAUUGCGACCCGCUAACAACAACACUACUUCCGGUAUUCCUUCACAAUAAACCUCGGCACAUCCUGUAAUGACCCGUGUCUGCCUGAACUCCACUGAGAGCUGCUCCAACAGAAACAGGUUAUAAAAUAAUCAGACGUCUCUUCAUAUUAGUUUUACAGUCGUGUGUAUUUGAAAUAAUAAGGACUCUGGAGUCUGAACUUGGACCUCAGCCGUGAAUUAUAACAACAUGUGGUCCUCUGGCCUUUGGGUGGGCGUGGCCUCAGAGGAAAGUGGGCGCCGUGGGAAUAUUAUGAGUGGUCGGUGACUUUAAAAAGCAGAAGGGUUUGACUAAUGCCACAUUAAAAUGUCACUGAUGACACAGAGUCAAUAUCUCAGAGCAAGUGACACAGAACCAGCUCAUCCCAUCGCAGUUCAUUACUGAGACCGUGUCCAAUUAUGAGAUGGCGUUUGUGAUGGAAAGAUUAUUGAUGGCGUUCGGUUAGACACAGCGGUAAUAUUAAAAUAACAUAUAUCAUUUCAUAAGUGAAUUAUUAAAGUCCCUUAUUUCUUUUAAAGGUUUAACUGAACAUGUGUAAGAAGGUUUAUUUGAAAAUGAGAAGGUAAAAGUUAAUUAAAGGGAGGUUACAGUCCGUUAAAUUGUCCAGUGUGUCGACAUUUAAUAAACUAGAAACUGAACACUGAUCUGGCAGGUAGAAAUCAAGAGG